GAUGAAGAACGCAGCGAAUUGCGAUAAGUAGUGUGAAUUGCAGACUCCAGUGAAUCAUCGAAUCUUUGAACGCACAUUGCGCUUUCUGGUAUUCCGGAAAGCAUGUCUGUCUGAGCGUCAGCUUACCCUCAAACUUAUGUUUGGUUUUGAGAAAUGAAGGUUUCCUUCCCUCUCUAAAAGCAAUGGCGAACAAUCCAGCUGUACGACGUAGUAAAAUAAUUCUCGUUAGUUGCUAGUUGGUGAGUGCUGCCACAAUGACACUUUUCUGUGUUUGACCUCAGAUCAGGUAGGGAUACCCCCUGAACUUAAGCAUAUCAAUUAAGCGGAGGA
rnacentral:misc_RNA from 1 species